AACGGAUAUAUGAAAUAUCAGACAAAUUAUUAACAAUCUAAUAAGCAUUUUUUGUUUUUUUCACUUCCUCUUAUUUUCUUCCCGUAAUGAUUUUAUUCUCGUUCGUUAAUAUUUCAAAGUCACAGUUAAAGUAAUACUCGGGUAAAUGAGACUACUUGUAUAUAAUGAAAGAUAGAAAAUUGAAAGGGUUAUGUGCAAAGUUUGAUAUAGCAAAGUUCACGACCUCAUUGAUAAGAAAAUACUUCAAGGAAUAUUUCAAAUAAAAAAUACUAAAGAUUUCUUGGAAGUUGAUCUUCGCUCAUCGUCAAAUUGAAAAAGAACAUUGUUAAACGUACGAUAAUAAUUUUAAAUAAUAUCCGUUGAAACUAAUUAAUUAUUUAGAAGUUGAAAUUAGAUAUAAAACUAAACAUAGUGAAAGAAGUGAACUGUCAAUAUUUUUAAUUUGUUAUCUUCCACUUUAUUUUUCAAAUUACAAUACAUUCGAUAUUUAUAGAAUCACAUAAACUGUUCGUUUCAAAUUGACCGUUUAAUAUCCUUAUGAUGUUAGUGUAUAUAUAUAAUGUUUGUAUUAAAUGACCUAACCUUUGACUUUGAUUUCUUAACCUCACUUUUUAUUUAAAGUUGUUUUUCAUGAUAACUUGUAUUGAGAAACUUGUAUUUAUGAAAAAAUGGAGACCGUACGUCCAUGUGGUUGUAAAGGAAUUCGUACAUGUUUGAUUUGCGAAGAACAAUUUAACAUAACAAAACCGGAUUUGAAAGAAAAGUUACAAGAAAAAUCCUCUUAUGUUUAUUGUCCGCAUUGCGAUAAAGCAUGGCCUGGAUGGGAUAUAGAAUUGUACAAGGAACAUCCUCAUCAUAAAGGACAUGCAAUAGAUUAUCCAGGUGUUUUUAUUAAACUUGAUUUUUUAAAUACAGAAGAGACAUUGACUUUGAUGAAGUCGUUAGAUGAAUUACCAUGGGAACCAUCGCAAAGUGGUAGAAGAAAACAAAAUUUUGGUCCAAAGUGUAAUUUUAAGAAACGAAAAUUACGUUUAGGUACCUUCAAUGGAUUUCCACAAUCUACAGAAUUUGUACAGAAGAAGUUCAAUGAAAUUUCACUUUUAAAUAAUUUUAGAACAAUAGAACAAUGCACUCUUGAAUACAAUCCAAAACGAGGAGCUUCUAUAGAUCCUCAUAUAGAUGAUUGUUGGAUAUGGGGAGAGCGUAUAGUUACAGUUAAUGUAUUAGGUGAUUCUGUAUUAACAAUGACACCUUAUACCGAAUCGAUUAGACGUUACAAUCUGGAUUAUGUAGAAAAUUAUUCUAAAAUUGAUAAGAAAAUAGAAACACAACAAGACAUGGUAAUACGUUUACCUAUGCCAGCAAAAUCAUUGAUGAUUUUAUAUGGACUUGCAAGGUAUAAUUGGGAGCACUCUGUGCUUCGAGAAGAUGUAACAUCAAGACGUGUCUGUCUUGCUUAUAGAGAAUUAACUCCACCAUAUCUUGAAAAUGGCAAACAUGAAAAAGAAGCAUCAGAAAUUCUUGAAAAAGCAAACAAUUUUUGGUAAAAAGUAAAUAAUACCACUAAUAUCAUGUUCACACAAUUUAACUGUAAUGCAAUAUCCAUUGCAUUUUUAUCAUUCCAUUUGAAAUGUCAUGCAUUAUGGAAUAUAACCAUAAAUAGAACAAAAGAAGUAUCGAACAUAAAGCAGGACGAUUUAAAUAAAAAUUUUACAGUGGAAAUUUUGAUACAAUUCAAAGUCGAAUCUUAUAAUUAUAUUUGUCAAAAUCUUACCCUGGACUGCAUGAAAUUAACUGCACUUUUAACUUCGUCAUUAUUAUCGUAUUCGUGCAUCGUACUGUUGAUAUUAUAUUCCAAAAGAUCUUUUACGGUGUCCUGUAAUGCAUAUGCUGCAGUCGCCGCAGACAAUUCCAUUAUUAAGACAACGGAUAAAGAAACUGCAAACUAGGAAAAAGAAGAAAGAAAAUAUAAAUAAUAUUAGCGUAAUAUACUUACCACAAGAACCAUGCAAGUACUUUCUCGAAGAGCACCGCAACAUCCAAAGAAGGCAAUUAUAAAAACUAAUAUACCAACUAUGAUCAAGAGCGUGGCUGGUGAGAAAUAUCUGGUAUCCAAGAAAUGGGAGAAAUCUUCAUAAACGGCAUAGAUUGUAGAGCCAACCGAUAUUAUCAUCACACCCGUCAACUAUAUCAAAAUUAUUAUUAAUUAAUAAUCAAUUAUUCAAUUUGUGAUAUCAAUGUAUUUUUUUAAUCUAAUAAUUCUCAAUCAUUGAAUCGCUAGUAUCGAUUAUAAAAUCAUCUAUGUUAUUUGCUUAUUUUAAAUAAUCUAAAUCAUACUGUUAUAUUAUUAUUGAAAGUAUAUUGGCAGCUACGUUCGUCGUUUGGGCAUUAAAAAAUGCUGUCUUUUUAUUAAAAACGUAUCACUGAUUACAAUUCACAAUCAAUGUAUACUAAUUGGAGUCGUAUAAUCGUUAACACGUGUUAAACUGAACGAAUAUUUUUUAAAUAUUUGAUUAACUGACUUAACAUUUACAAUUAAUCAGAAAAGUGUCGAGUAAAAAAAAAAAAAGAAAAAAAAAAAGAAAAUAACCCAAGAAAAUUGAUCUUUUUUUCUUCUGUUCUUUUUUGCUUUAAACAAAUCAAAAGAACAUUCAGAUAUAAUAUAAAUGAUAUCUCUAAUAAAGAUAUCUCAAUUCCCAAGGGACUAAUCUAAUUCCCCUAUAUAUUAUAAACUUUCAUCUUGAAUUCUUUUUUGUACUUUGCCAAAGAAAGAUAAAUUCGUUUAUCUGAUGAUGAUAUAUCAAAAAACAUAUCAUACGAUCAACAUCAAUACGAGAAUCAUAUAAUUAUCUCUACUGAUAAGACAGUUCUUUGUAUUUUCAAAUAUAAUCGACUUACAUACUUUUA